GACGAACGCUGGCGGCGUGCUUAACACAUGCAAGUCGAACGAAGUGGCGAACGGGUGAGUAACGCGUAAUCAACCUGCCCUUCAGAGGGGGACAACAGUUGGAAACGACUGCUAAUACUGCAUACUGAAGGAGGGGUUUGCGUCUGAUUAGCUAGUUGGAGGGGUAACGGCCCACCAAGGAGAUGAUCAGUAGGCCGUCCGAGAGUAUGGACGGCAAAAUUGGGGCUGAGAAACGGCCCAGACUCCUACGGUGGGCAGCAGUGGGGAAUCUUCCGCAAUGGACGAAAGGCGGACGGAGCAACGCCGCGGGAGUGAUGACGGCCUUCGGGUUGUAAAGCUCUGUUAAUCGGGGCGCGGUACCGGAAUAGAAAGCCACGGCUAACUACGUGCCAGCAGCCGCGGUAAUAC
rnacentral:rRNA from 1 species